rnacentral:lncRNA from 1 species
UCACAAAAAAAGCCUUUAUAUCCUUUACAGACAUUCUUGUUUUUCGGGUCCCAUGAUUUUUUUAUGCCCUGCGGAUCGUCAGUAAUUAGCUUGCUGAAUUGCUGAAUUGCAUUAUAAUCUCUAAUGAGGUUUGGAGUUAGAGUUGUAGGUGGAGGCGGAGGAGAAGGAGAAGGCGGAGGCGGAGGCGAAGGAGAAGGCGGAGGAGGAGGAGAAGGUGGACGUGGACGUGGAGGUGGAGGCGGAGGAGGAGGGAUUGGUUCAGGGCAUAUAGGUGGGGGUGGGGGUGGUGGACAUUCUUCAGGUUGAGGAGGAGGUGCAUACUCUCCGUUUUCAGGCGAAGGAGCAUAGCCGCCGCCGCCGCCAAUGAUUAUCUCUAGAGAUUCUCUUUUUGACCCGACCGCAGCAUUCUGAGCAGCUAGAUUAUACACGAAAGAAGAAUGAAAAAUGAGAACCAAA